rnacentral:rRNA from 1 species
UACGAAGGGGCGAGCGUUGUUCGGAAUUACUGGGCGUAAAGGCGCGUAGGCGGCCGAUCAAGUCAGAUGUGAAGUCCUGGCUUAACCUGGACUGCAUUGAUACUGAUUGGCUGAAUGCAGGAGAGAUAGCGGAUCCAGUGUAGAGUGAAUUCGUAGAUAUGAGACACGUGCGAGCGCUAUCUGACUGUGAUUUUUGACGCUGAGGGGGCGCGAAAAAGCGUGGGGGAGCAAAAACAGAUUUUUAGAAAAACCCCCGUGUAUCCCCCAGACAAAAAGUCUCUGC